UUAACUAAUUAUGUAAUUUUUUUUCAAGGCAUGAAGAUCAUGGCCUGUUCGAGGGUGUCUUUGUCUGUAAAGAUGAAGAUGUUUCCAAGUUUGUGGACUACAUUAAUGCUAAGACAAAGCACGUAAGUUAUAUUGUUGUUUUGUCUUGGUGCAGUCUAAAAUUGUAUUCCCCCCAAAAAUAAAAAAAUCUUGCAUGGCUUAGACUAGAGUAAGGCAAAAAUUCAAAAGAACUUGUGGUCAUUUGAAAUGUGUCCUCCUUUUGGCCUUUUUUGUACAAAUUUCUGUUUCCUAUUGACAUUUAUCCAUAUAUGUAAUUUAAUACAAUGUUGUUGAAUCAUAAAAUUUCUUUUACUUUGUUCUAAACUUGAUAGUCAGCUGGAAAAGGUGUCUGUGGAUCAAGUCAAUGGAGUGCAGCACGGGAGUCUGUCCCAAAGAAAAUCAACAAGCUGGAUGAGGAGGGGAUGGAGGUGGCUGUCUGUCGACAUGGUGUGCUCCUGAGAAGUCUGAACAUGAUGAGGGGGGAAAUAUUUGCGUAUCCCCUGUUUCUCCAAAAAGAGCUGACUGCAAAGAAUGUGCAGUUCAUGUGCACUGAUGUUAUAUGCAAGUACUGGCCAUACCUGCAGAGAAUUGUUAAAGAUUGUCCAGAGCUCUCUCCUCUCCUGGACAUGAAGCCUUUCCUGUCAGUGAUGCAUGCAAAGGCCCACUCUUGGAAAUGUGAGAUUAAAUGGGGUGGUCGAAACCAAGAAGGAGCAGGCACCACCCUGGGGGAAGAGGUCGAACAAGUUAACAGCUUUUUGUCGAGAACUGCUAUAUGCAGUAAAUACAUGACCAAAGGAGCCAGAACAGACAUGAUUACAAUCCAGGCCAUGGCAUGGAAUCAGCGCAAAAUACGGAAACUUGCAAAAGCGCUGUCCCUAAGAUUUAAAAAGGUAUAUUUCUAAAUUACUUUUCUCUUUUAUAGGUGAAAGCUUUCGUUUCUUUUAAUGUUUAAUUUGGCUGUAGUGUUUGUUGUGCAAACAAGUAGGCAAGCUGUGUAGAACAACCACUAGAAAGUCAAAAGCAUGAAUUUCAAAACAAAGUUUACUUAUGAAAAUGUUAUACACUUUUCCAUUUGAAAAGGCUCAUUAGUCCUNAUAUAAGCUUCAUCCUUAUACCUCUGAUGUAAUAAUAAUGCACAUAUUUAUUUCUAUUGUAAAUGCAUUUCUUAUCAAUAAUUUAGCAACAAGUGAGGAGAACACAGACAGUCAGCAGGUGCUCCAGAAGACUAUUGAGACGCUUUAUGUGAGCAUCAGGCAGAGAAAGCAAGAUCUUUACCGUCAAUCAGGUUAGAUAACUUUAAACAUUAAAUCAUUUUUAAAGGUUUUAAAGACCAAUUCACACUGCACAGAUAAACACCAACAAGCAUGUUUGUUGUGUUUUGUCGGAUCAGUGGUGUCUGUUGACAUUAAUCAGGGUUUUUUCUCACCUGACUGAACAUGUUCAAUCAGCAUCUGUUGGGAGAGUGUAAACAUGGCGAGGCCAGAGAUGUGAACAAUUUAUUUUUCAGAAAAUUCUGAAUCCAAAAGCAAAUAAAUAUUUUGCAAAUAAAUUUCUCA
ensembl:lncRNA